AUUGAACGCUGGCGGCAGGCUUAACACAUGCAAGUCGAACGAGUGGCGGACGGGUGAGUAAUGAUUGGGAAUCUGGCUAAUGGCGGGGGAUAACUACGGGAAACAGUAGCUAAUACCGCGUACCAUUGGAUGAGCCCAUGUGGGAUUAGGUAGUUGGUGAGGUAAAGGCUCACCAAGGCGACGAACUCUAGCUGGUCUGAGAGGAUGACCAGCCACACUGGGACUGAUACACGGCCCAGACUCCUACGGGAGGCAGCAGUGGGGAAUAUUGCGCAAUUGGGGAAACCUGACGCAGCCAUUCCGCGUGAAUGAAGAAGGCCUUCGGGUUGUAAAGUUCUUUCGGUAGCGAGGCGUUAUCUACAGAAGAAGCACCGGCUAACUCCGUGCCAGCAGCCGCGGUAAUUC
rnacentral:rRNA from 1 species